GGUUUGAUCAUGGCUCAGAUUGAACGCUGGCGGGAUGUUUACACAUGCAAGUCGAACGGCAGCACGGACUUCGGUCUGGUGGCGAGUAUGAACGGGUGAGUAAUGUAUCGGAACGUACUAGUAGCGGGGGAUAACUACGCGAAAGCGUAGCUACCGCAUACGCCCUUCGGGGGAAAGCGGGGGGACCUCUUCGGGCCUCGCACUAUUAGAGCGGCCGAUAUCGGAUUAGCUUAGUUGCGGGGUAACGGCUCACCAAGGCGACGAUCCGUAGCCGGUUUGAGAGGACGACCAGCCACACUGGGACUGGAGACACGGCCCAGACCUCUACGGGAGGCAGCAGUGGGGAAUUUUGGACAAUGGGGAAACCCCGAUCCAGCCAUCCCGCGUGUGCGAUGAAGGCCUUCGGGUUGUAAAGCACUUUGGCAGGAAAGAAAACGGCACGGGAUAAUACCCCGUGCAACUGACGGUACCCGCAGAAUAAGCACCGGCUAACUACGUGCCAGCAGCCGCGGUAAUACGUAGGGUAAGCGUUAAUCGGAAUUACUGGGCGUAAGCGUGCGCAGGCGGUUCGGAAAAGAAAGAUGUGAAAUCCCAGAGCUUAACUUUGGAACUGCAUUUUUAACUACCGGUUUAGAGUGUGUCAGAGGGAGGUGGAAUUCCGCGUAGCAGUGAAAUGCGUAGAUAUGCGGAGGAACACCGAUGGCGAAGGCAGCUCCUGGGAUAACACUGACGCUCACAGUGCACGAAAGCGUGGGGAGCAAACAGAUUAGAUACCCUGGUAAACCACGCCCUAAACGAUGUCAACUAGCUGUUGGGGCCUUCUGGGCCUUUGCGGGCGCAGCUAACGCGUGAAGUUGACCGCCUGGGGAGUACGGUCGCAAGAUUAAAACUCAAAGGAAUUGACGGGGACUCCGCACAAGCGGUGGAUGAUGUGGAUUAAUUCGAUGCAACGCGAAAACCUUACCUACCCUUGACAUGUCUGGAAUCCUGAAGAGAUUUGGGAGUGCUCGCAAGAGAACCGGAACACAGGUGCCGCAUGGCUGUCGUCAGCUCGUGUCGUGAGAUGUUGGGUUAAGUCCCGCAACGAGCGCAACCCUUGUCAUUAGUUGCUACGAAAGGGCACUCUAAUGAGACUGCCGGUGACAAAACCGGAGGAAGGUGGGGAUGACGUCAAGUCCUCAUGGCCCUUAUGGUAGGGCUUCACACGUCAUACAAUGGUCGGGACAGAGGGUCGCCAACCCGCGAGGGGAGCCAAUCCCAGAAACCCGAUCGUAGUCCGGAUCGCAGUCUGCAACUCGACUGCGUGAAGCCUUAACCGCUAGUAAUCGCGGAUCAGCAUGUGUGUCGCGGUGAACACGUUCCCGGUCUUGUACACACCGCCCGUCACACCAUGGGAGUGGGUUUUACCAGAAGUAGUUAGCCUAACCGUAAGGAGGGCGAUUACCACGGUAGGAUUCAUGACUGGGGUGAACAAGGUAG
rnacentral:rRNA from 1 species